CAGCAGCCGCGGUAACACGAAGGGUGCAAGCGUUAAUCGGAAUUACUGGGCGUAAAGCGUGCGUAGGCGGUGAGUUAAGUCUGUUGUGAAAUCCCCGGGCUCAACCUGGGAAUGGCAAUGGAUACUGGCAAGCUAGAGUGUGUCAGAGGAUGGUGGAAUUCCCGGUGUAGCGGUGAAAUGCGUAGAGAUCGGGAGGAACAUCAGUGGCGAAGGCGGCCAUCUGGGACAACACUGACGCUGAGGCACGAAAGCGUGGGGAGCAAACAGGAUUAGAUACCCCCGUAGUCCCUGUCUCUUAUAC
rnacentral:rRNA from 1 species